CGACAUUAGACGAAUCAUCUGGAAAGAUGAAUCAAAGAAGGUAAUAAUCCUGUAGUCGAAAAUGUUGUCUCUCUUGAGUGGAUCCUGAGUACGACGGAGCACGUGAAAUUCCGUCGGAAUCUGGGAGGACCAUCUCCUAAGGCUAAAUACUCUCUAGUGACCGAUAGCGAACCAGUACCGUGAGGGAAAGGUGAAAAGCACCCCGGAAGGGGAGUGAAAUAGAACCUGAAACCGUGUGCUUACAAGUAGUCAGAGCCCGUUAAUGGGUGAUAGCGUGCCUUUUGUAGAAUGAACCGGCGAGUUACGAUUUGAUGCAAGGUUAAGCAGUAAAUGUGGAGCCGUAGCGAAAGCGAGUCUGAAUAGGGCGUUUAGUAUUUGGUCGUAGACCCGAAACCAGGUGAUCUACCCUUGGUCAGGUUGAAGUUCAGGUAACACUGAAUGGAGGACCGAACCGACUUACGUUGAAAAGUGAGCGGAUGAACUGAGGGUAGCGGAGAAAUUCCAAUCGAACCUGGAGAUAGCUGGUUCUCUCCGAAAUAGCUUUAGGGCUAGCCUCAAGUGAUGAUUAUUGGAGGUAGAGCACUGUUUGGACGAGGGGCCCCUCUCGGGUUACCGAAUUCAGACAAACUCCGAAUGCCAAUUAAUUUAACUUGGGAGUCAGAACAUGGGUGAUAAGGUCCGUGUUCGAAAGGGAAACAGCCCAGACCACCAGCUAAGGUCCCAAAAUAUAUGUUAAGUGGAAAAGGAUGUGGCGUUGCCCAGACAACUAGGAUGUUGGCUUAGAAGCAGCCAUCAUUUAAAGAGUGCGUAAUAGCUCACUAGUCGAGUGACACUGCGCCGAAAAUGUACCGGGGCUAAACAUAUUACCGAAGCUGUGGAUUGUCCUUUGGACAAUGGUAGGAGAGCGUUCUAAGGGCGUUGAAGCAUGAUCGUAAGGACAUGUGGAGCGCUUAGAAGUGAGAAUGCCGGUGUGAGUAGCGAAAGACGGGUGAGAAUCCCGUCCACCGAUUGACUAAGGUUUCCAGAGGAAGGCUCGUCCGCUCUGGGUUAGUCGGGUCCUAAGCUGAGGCCGACAGGCGUAGGCGAUGGAUAACAGGUUGAUAUUCCUGUACCACCUAUAAUCGUUUUAAUCGAUGGGGGGACGCAGUAGGAUAGGCGAAGCGUGCGAUUGGAUUGCACGUCUAAGCAGUAAGGCUGAGUAUUAGGCAAAUCCGGUACUCAUUAAGGCUGAGCUGUGAUGGGGAGAAGACAUUGUGUCUUCGAGUCGUUGAUUUCACACUGCCGAGAAAAGCCUCUAGAUAGAAAAUAGGUGCCCGUACCGCAAACCGACACAGGUAGUCAAGAUGAGAAUUCUAAGGUGAGCGAGCGAACUCUCGUUAAGGAACUCGGCAAAAUGACCCCGUAACUUCGGGAGAAGGGGUGCUCUUUAGGGUUAACGCCCAGAAGAGCCGCAGUGAAUAGGCCCAAGCGACUGUUUAUCAAAAACACAGGUCUCUGCUAAACCGUAAGGUGAUGUAUAGGGGCUGACGCCUGCCCGGUGCUGGAAGGUUAAGAGGAGUGGUUAGCUUCUGCGAAGCUACGAAUCGAAGCCCCAGUAAACGGCGGCCGUAACUAUAACGGUCCUAAGGUAGCGAAAUUCCUUGUCGGGUAAGUUCCGACCCGCACGAAAGGCGUAACGAUUUGGGCACUGUCUCAACGAGAGACUCGGUGAAAUCAUAGUACCUGUGAAGAUGCAGGUUACCCGCGACAGGACGGAAAGACCCCGUGGAGCUUUACUGUAGCCUGAUAUUGAAAUUCGGCACAGCUUGUACAGGAUAGGUAGGAGCCUUUGAAACGUGAGCGCUAGCUUACGUGGAGGCGCUGGUGGGAUACUACCCUAGCUGUGUUGGCUUUCUAACCCGCACCACUUAUCGUGGUGGGAGACAGUGUCAGGCGGGCAGUUUGACUGGGGCGGUCGCCUCCUAAAAGGUAACGGAGGCGCUCAAAGGUUCCCUCAGAAUGGUUGGAAAUCAUUCAUAGAGUGUAAAGGCAUAAGGGAGCUUGACUGCGAGACCUACAAG
rnacentral:rRNA from 1 species